ensembl:lncRNA
AUGAAGGAAGUGGUCCAGGAGCCAAGAGAUAAAGUAUGAAAUAUGGAUAUCCUCAAGAGACGAGUAAAGAGAUUCUUUCUUAGAGCUUCCUGCAAGGAAUCCAGCCCUUCCAACACCUGGUUUCAGCUCGUUCAUCUUGUGUCAGACUUCUGCAAAACUAUAACCACAGAUGAAAAUGGUUUUGCCAUGGUCAACCCUGGGCCACUGUCUUCUCAUUUUAUGUUCAUACAAAUUCUUUCCAGGUCCAUCUAGUCAAGGCUAUGGUUUUUCCACUGGCCAUGUAUGGAUGUGAGAGUUGGACUAUAAGGGAAGCUGAGCACCGAAGAAUUGAUGCUUUUGAACAGUGGUGUUGGAGAAGACUCUUGAGAGUCCCUUGGACUGCAAGGAGAUCCAACCAGUCCAUUCUGAAGGAGAUCAGCCCUGAAUAUUCAUUGGAAGGACUGAUGCUGAAGCUGAAACUCCAAUACUUUGGCCACCUGAUGCAAAGAGUUGACUCAUUGGAAAAGACUCUGAUGCUAGGAGGGAUUGGGGGCAGGAAGAGAAGGGGACGACAGAGGAUGAGAUGGCUGGAGGGCAUCACUGACUUGAUGGACAUGAGUUUGGGUAAACUCCAGGAGUUGGUGAUGGACAGGAAGGCCUGGCGUGCUGCAAUUCAUGGGGUUGGCAAAGAGUCGGACACAACUGAGCGACUGACCUGAACUGAACUGAUUCUCUUCUCAGCAAGUGAAACAGUGGCUGCUUUGCUGGAGUGUUUUUUAAUUUUUUUUUCUUUUCCUUUGGCAGUAUUAUACCUGAAUUCCUGAUUAGUAUUGUCAGCAAUGAAGUCCUUUCCUUAGAACUCAUGUCUACAUUCAGUAACUGGCUAUAACAGGAAUAUCUCUGCAGAAUCUAAACUAGUCAGGAGCUGUGCUUCUGGUGUUUCAGUCUCUCAGAGAUGUGCUAAGUUUACUUUCAAGUCUCAAAUUGUAUUGUUAAAUCUGUAAAUGGAUCAAUUAGAUGCCAGUUAGGUACCAAUCUCUGCUUUUAUGACUGUAGUUCAUUUC